AACAGAGAUACAAAAUCA
rnacentral:sRNA from 1 species